UGGGGAAUAUUGGGCAAUGGACGCAAGUCUGACCCAGCAACGCCGCGUGAAGGAAGAAGGCUUUCGGGUUGUAAACUUCUUUUAAGAGGGAAGAGCAGAAGACGGUACCUCUUGAAUAAGCCACGGCUAACUACGUGCCAGCAGCCGCGGUAAUACGUAGGUGGCAAGCGUUGUCCGGAUUUACUGGGUGUAAAGGGCGUGCAGCCGGGCCGGCAAGUCAGAUGUGAAAUCCCCAGGCUCAACCUGGGAACAGCAUACUAAACUGGUGGACUAGAGUAUUGCAGGGGGAGACGGAAUUCCAGGUGUAG
rnacentral:rRNA from 1 species